GAUGAACGCUGGCGGCGUGCCUAAUACAUGCAAGUCGAGCGAACAGAUGAGGAGCUUGCUCCUCUGACGUUAGCGGCGGACGGGUGAGUAACACGUGGAUAACCUACCUAUAAGACUGGGAUAACUUCGGGAAACCGGAGCUAAUACCGGAUAAUAUAUUGAACCGCAUGGUUCAAUAGUGAAGGACGGUUUUGCUGUCACUUAUAGAUGGAUCCGCGCCGCAUUAGCUAGUUGGUAAGGUAACGGCUUACCAAGGCGACGAUGCGUAGCCGACCUGAGAGGGUGAUCGGCCACACUGGAACUGAGACACGGUCCAGACUCCUACGGGAGGCAGCAGUAGGGAAUCUUCCGCAAAGGGCGAAAGCCUGACGGAGCAACGCCGCGUGAGUGAUGAAGGUCUUCGGAUCGUAAAACUCUGUUAUUAGGGAAGAACAAAUGUGUAAGUAACUAUGCACGUCUUGACGGUACCUAAUCAGAAAGCCACGGCUAACUACGUG
rnacentral:rRNA from 1 species